CAAAGUCUACAGAGAAGUGUCUGAUAGUGGUAGGUACUGCAACAUGUCUGGGACCUUGGUGGAGAAUGGCCCAGCAUUCUCCUGAAGUAGUGUGGACAAUGGUAAUUACAGCAGGGGACAUGAAGCUCUUCAAGGUAUUAAUAUGUGCUGAAACACUGCUAUAUUGAUGAUAAUAAUUAUCUUCAUAAUAAACUGACUUGAUCCAGGCAGACAGAUGGAUGGAAAAGUGAGAAAAGAACUAAAAAAGGGCACACAGAUUAAUAGUUUGGAAGGGAAGAGAAAGCAGAUGCACAGCCCUUAAAGCAUGCACACAGCAGCUCUGAUUUACCUGUAACAAAGCAAAGCCACAGCCAAGCCAUCUUCCCAGCUCUGCAAUAAAUCCAGGUGAGAAUCCAAGGCAUUGUAAGCCAUUACUUGCUGGGUUUAGGCAUACAGAGAAUGUUAGUUUGAAAACAGGAUCAUGUGUCCUUUUGUUGCCACAAGAG